ensembl:snRNA U2 U2 spliceosomal RNA
AUCACUUUGUGGCUUUUUGACUAAAAUUCUGGGUAGUAUCUGUUCUUAUCCAUUUCAUAUAAGAUACACCCCCAGUUUUAAGACCUUAUAUCCUCAAUUUAAAGACUUUACAUUAAAUGGAUUUUGGGGAGUGGGAGAGAGACUGAGAGCUUGUUCCGUCCACUGCACAUAUCGACCUCGUACGCCUCCGGGGAGCAGUAGCUGCUGG